GAUGUAGUAACUCCCGGAUGAAAAUGAAAAGUGCUUGCCGAAGCAAGGAUUCGACGGCGGCUGAAACAUCAAUGUGAGAAAGGUUUUAGUUUGCAAACUUCGACUGAACCGAUCGGUGAACCACAGAGUCAAGAAAGGGCAGCUAAUCAUAGUGUUAAAGGGAUGUGUUUGAGAGUCACAUGAAAAGAUAAACCCAUCGGAUGAGUUUGGAAAAUAUGAGCGAGGAGGAGUGCAGCCCUUCUAAAUUUCCUCGACUGACUGUUCCAUUACGCGACAUAAGGGUCAAUGGCCUUUUCAGUAGAGUGGUCCAAUUAGAUGGAUUGGUAAGUUACAUUAUUUUCCCAUUCUUUGCAUUUUC